GAUGAAGAACGUAGCGAAAUGCGAUAAAUAAUGUGAAUUGCAGAAUUCAGUGAAUCAUCGAGUCUUUGAACGCACAUUGCGCCCCCUGGUAUUCCGGGGGGCAUGCCUGUCCGAGCGUCAUUGCUGCCCUCAAGCACGGCUUGUGUGUUGGGCCCCCGUCCCCCCCUCCCGGGGGACGGGCCCGAAAGGCAGCGGCGGCACCGCGUCCGGUCCUCGAGCGUAUGGGGCUUUGUCACCCGCUCUGUAGGCCCGGCCGGCGCCUGCCGACCACCAUCAAUCUUUUUUCACGUUGACCUCGGAUCAGGUAGGGAUACCCGCUGAACUUAAGCAUAUCAAUAAGCGGAGGA
rnacentral:misc_RNA from 1 species